rnacentral:rRNA from 1 species
GAUGAACGCUGGCGGCGUGCCUAAUACAUGCAAGUCGAGCGAACAGACGAGGAGCUUACUCCUCUGACGUUAGCGGCGGACGGGUGAGUAACACGUGGAUAACCUACCUAUAAGACUGGGAUAACUUCGGGAAACCGGAGCUAAUACCGGAUAACAUGUUGAACCGCAUGGUUCAACAGUGAAAGACGGUCUUGCUGUCACUUAUAGAUGGAUCCGCGUCGCAUUAGCUAGUUGGUAAGGUAACGGCUUACCAAGGCAACGAUGCGUAGCCGACCUGAGAGGGUGAUCGGCCACACUGGAACUGAGACACGGUCCAGACUCCUAAGGGAGGCAGCAGUAGGGAAUCUUCCGCAAUGGGCGAAAGCCUGACGGAGCAACGCCGCGUGAGUGAAGAAGGUCUUCGGAUCGUAAAACUCUGUUAUUAGGGAAGAACAAAUGUGUAAGUAACUAUGCACGUCUUGACGGUACCUAAUCAGAAAGCCACGGCUAACUACGUG